rnacentral:ncRNA from 2 species
AGGUUGAAAGCUUUUUGUGGUGUCCGAAAGGCUUAAAAGGGAACUCCGUGAAAAUCGGAGGCUGUCCCGCAGCUGUGAGAGGGGGACGAAAGGUGCUAUUUCCCCACCGGAGGUGGGGAUGAAAUGCCACUGUUCCAAGGUAGGUUUGGGAUGGGAAGGCGCACCCAGUAGAGUGAUCCCCGAGCCAGAAGACCUGUCACAAGAAGAAUUUUAGG